rnacentral:rRNA from 1 species
AGCGUAUAUUAAAGUUGUUGCAGUUAAAAAGCUCGUAGUUGAAUUUCGGGGUCAGUAGGUCGGUCGUGCCACUGGUAUGAACUGGUUUUACUGAUUCCUCCCUCUUGAAGAACUGUAAUGCCAUUAAUUUGGUGUUGCAGGGAAUCAGGACUGUUACUUUGAAAAAAUUAGAGUGUUUAAAGCAGGCUUUAGCUUGAAUACAUUAGCAUGGAAUAAUGAAAUAGGACGUUCGAUCCUAUUUUGUUGGUUUCUAGGAUUGACGUAAUGAUUAAUAGGGAUAGUUGGGGGCAUUAGUAUUCAAUUGUCAGAGGUGAAAUUCUUGGAUUUAUUGAAGACUAACUACUGCGAAAGCAUUUGCCAAGGAUGUUUUCAUUAAUCAAGAACGAAAGUUAGGGGAUCGAAGACGAUCAGAUACCGUCGUAGUCUUAACCAUAAACUAUGCCGACUAGGGAUCGGAUGAUGUUAAUUUUUUAAUGACUCAUUC